GCCAGCCCGCUACAGAAACUUAAAGGAAUUGACGGGGCCCGCACAAGCGGUGGAGUAUGUGGUUUAAUUCGAUGCAACGCGAAGAACCUUACCUGGUCUUGACAUCCCGGAGACCCUUAGGAAACUAGGGGUGCUUCCAUCUGGAAGAAUCUGGAGACAGGUGCUGCAUGGCUGUCGUCAGCUCGUGUCGUGAGAUGUUGGGUUAAGUCCCGCAACGAGCGCAACCCUUGCCUUUAGUUGCCAGCAGUUCGGCUGGGCACUCUAAAGGGACUGCCGGUGUUAAACCGGAGGAAGGUGGGGAUGACGUCAAGUCCUCAUGGCCUUUAUGACCAGGGCUACACACGUACUACAAUGGCCGAUACAAAGGGCAGCGACACUGCGAGGUGAAGCCAAUCCCGUAAAAUCGGUCUCAGUCCGGAUUGGAGUCUGCAACUCGACUCCAUGAAGUUGGAAUCGCUAGUAAUCGUGGAUCAGCAUGCCACGGUGAAUACGUUCCCGGGCCUU
rnacentral:rRNA from 1 species